GAUGAACGCUAGCUACAGGCUUAACACAUGCAAGUCGAGGGGCAGCAUGGUCUUAGCUUGCUAAGGCCGAUGGCGACCGGCGCACGGGUGAGUAACACGUAUCCAACCUGCCGUCUACUCUUGGACAGCCUUCUGAAAGGAAGAUUAAUACAAGAUGGCAUCAUGAGUCCGCAUGUUCACAUGAUUAAAGGUAUUCCGGUAGACGAUGGGGAUGCGUUCCAUUAGAUAGUAGGCGGGGUAACGGCCCACCUAGUCUUCGAUGGAUAGGGGUUCUGAGAGGAAGGUCCCCCACAUUGGAACUGAGACACGGUCCAAACUCCUACGGGAGGCAGCAGUGAGGAAUAUUGGGCAAUGGGCGAGAGCCUGAACCAGCCAAGUAGCGUGAAGGAUGACUGCCCUAUGGGUUGUAAACUUCUUUUAUAAAGGAAUAAAGUCGGGUAUGGAUACCCGUUUGCAUGUACUUUAUGAAUAAGGAACGGCUAACUCCGUG
rnacentral:rRNA from 1 species